GGGAACGCAGCUCAGAUGGAUAGAGCUCUUCCCUUGCAAGGAGGGUGUCGAGGGUCCAGGUCCCUCCGCUCCCA
rnacentral:tRNA from 1 species